rnacentral:rRNA from 1 species
UACGUAGGGUGCGAGCGUUAAUCGGAAUUACUGGGCGUAAAGCGUGCGCAGGCGUUUGCUAAGACCGAUGUGAAAUCCCCGGGCUUAACCUGGGAACUGCAUUGGUGACUGGCAGGCUAGAGUAUGGCAGAGGGGGGUAGAAUUCCACGUGUAGCAGUGAAAUGCGUAGAGAUGUGGAGGAAUACCGAUGGCGAAGGCAGCCCCCUGGGCCAAUACUGACGCUCAUGCACGAAAGCGUGGGGAGCAAACGAGG